rnacentral:hammerhead_ribozyme from 1 species
AUCCAGUUGACGAGUCCCAAAUAGGACGUAGUGCACAUCCUGUAU